rnacentral:rRNA from 1 species
UACGAAGGGGGCUAGCGUUGCUCGGAAUGACUGGGCGUAAAGGGCGCGUAGGCGGAUUGUACAGUCAGGCGUGAAAUUCCCGGGCUCAACCUGGGGGCUGCGCUUGAGACGUGCGAUCUUGAGUGGGGAAGAGGGUCGUGGAAUUCCCAGUGUAGAGGUGAAAUGCGUAGAGAUCGGGAGGAACACCAGUGGCGAAGGCGGCUACCUGGACCAGCACUGACACUGAGGCACGAAAGCGUGGGGAGCAAACAGG